rnacentral:rRNA from 1 species
AUUGAACGCUGGCGGCAGGCUUAACACAUGCAAGUCGAACGAUGAUUAUCUAGCUUGCUAGAUAUGAUUAGUGGCGGACGGGUGAGUAACAUUUAGGAAUCUACCUAGUAGUGGGGGAUCGCUCGGGGAAACUCGAAUUAAUACCGCAUACGACCUACGGGUGAAAGGGGGCGCAAGCUCUUGCUAUUAGAUGAGCCUAAAUCAGAUUAGCUAGUUGGUGGGGUAAAGGCCCACCAAGGCGACGAUCUGUAACUGGUCUGAGAGGAUGAUCAGUCACACCGGAACUGAGACACGGUCCGGACUCCUACGGGAGGCAGCAGUGGGGAAUAUUGGACAAUGGGGGCAACCCUGAUCCAGCCAUGCCGCGUGUGUGAAGAAGGCCUUUUGGUUGUAAAGCACUUUAAGCAGGGAGGAGAGGCUAAUGGUUAAUACCCAUUAGAUUAGACGUUACCUGCAGAAUAAGCACCGGCUAACUCUGUGCCAGCAGCCGCAGUAACAC